rnacentral:misc_RNA from 1 species
AAGUCGUAACAAGGUUUCCGUAGGUGAACCUGCGGAAGGAUCAUUAUUGAACUAAGUCGGAUUCGAUGCUGGCCCUUAACCCGGGCAUGUGCUCGUCCUUCAUUUUUCUAACCUUCUUUAUGUGCACAUUUGUAUGCCCCUGAGUAACGAGCGCCUCUCGCAGCAAUGCGGUUUGCUUGGGACUGACGGCCUGGUCGUCUUUCCUGCAAUGCUCUCUGGGGGCUACGUUUUUAUAUACAAGUCAGUUGUAGAAUGUCUUUUAAUGACUGUUGCCUAGCGCAUGGUCUUAAACAAUUACAACUUUCAGCAACGGAUCUCUUGGCUCUCCCAUCGAUGAAGAACGCAGCGAAAUGCGAUAAGUAAUGUGAAUUGCAGAAUUCAGUGAAUCAUCGAAUCUUUGAACGCACCUUGCGCCCUUUGGUAUUCCGAAGGGCAUGCCUGUUUGAGUGUCAUUAAAUUAUCAACCUUGCUCGCUUUUACCGGCUUGAGCUGAGGCUUGGACGUGGGGGUUUUUGCUGGCUUCCUUCAGUGGAUGGUCUGCUCCCCUUAAAUUCAUUAGCGGGAUCUCUUGUGGACCGUCACUUGGUGUGAUAAUUAUCUAUGCCGUUUGACCUUGAAGCAAAUUUAUGGGACCCUGCUUAUAACCGUCUCUUACCGGGACAAUUUAAUAACAUCUUGACCUCAAAUCAGGUAGGACUACCCGCUGAACUUAAGCAUAUCAAUAAGCGGAGGAAAAGAAACUAACAAGGAUUCCCCUAGUAACUGCGAGUGAAGCGGGAAAAGCUCAAAUUUAAAAUCUGGCGGUCUUCGGCCGUCCGAGUUGUAAUUUAGAGAA